rnacentral:rRNA from 1 species
AUAUCAAUAAGCGGAGGAAAAGAAACUAACAAGGAUUCCCCUAGUAACGGCGAGUGAAGAGGGAAAAGCUCAAAUUUUAAAUCUGACAUCUUUGGUGUCCGAGUUGUAAUCUAGAGAAGUGUUUUCCGCGUUGGACCGUGCAAAAGUCUCCUGGAACGGGGUGUCAUAGAGGGUGAGAAUCCCGUACAUGGCAUGGACUCCCAUCGCUUUUGUGAUACACUCUCGACGAGUCGAGUUGUUUGGGAAUGCAGCUCAAAAUGGGUGGUAAAUUCCAUCUAAAGCUAAAUAUUGGCGAGAGACCGAUAGCGCACAAGUA